CGACCAUACAUGGGGAAAAACGGACAUGAGGGGGAAGAGUUAAAAACGCUUAAUGGCACAAAAAAUAUAUUUACAAAUGUACCAAUAAAAUAUAAUCACUAAGAUGUGAUUAUAUUUUAUUGGUACAUUUGUAAAUAUAUUUUUUGUGCCAUCCAGAGUUUUUAACUCUUUCUCCCCAGCCCCCCACGUCUGUUUUUUUCCCCCAUGUAUGGUCGU